rnacentral:rRNA from 1 species
CGCGUAUGCAAUCUGCCUUUCACAGAGGGAUAGCCCAGAGAAAUUUGGAUUAAUACCUCAUGGUAUAUUUGAGUGGCAUCACUUAAUUAUUAAAGAUUUAUCGGUGAAAGAUGAGCAUGCGUCCCAUUAGCUAGUUGGUAAGGUAACGGCUUACCAAGGCAACGAUGGGUAGGGGUCCUGAGAGGGAGAUCCCCCACACUGGUACUGAGACACGGACCAG